rfam:Spinacia oleracea cultivar SynViroflay scaffold88108.con0001.1, whole genome shotgun sequence.
AAGCAGGAAUCCGAAAAGGCGUAAAUAGAGUAGGAA